rnacentral:rRNA from 1 species
CCUACGGGGGGCUGCAGUGAGGAAUAUUGGUCAAUGGACGAGAGUCUGAACCAGCCAAGUAGCGUGAAGGAUGACUGCCCUAUGGGUUGUAAACUUCUUUUAUAUGGGAAUAAAAUGUUCCACGUGUGGGAUUUUGUAUGUACCAUAUGAAUAAGGACCGGCUAACUCCGUGCCAGCAGCCGCGGUAAUACGGAGGAUCCGAGCGUUAUCCGGAUUUAUUGGGUUUAAAGGGAGCGUAGGUGGAUGGUUAAGUCAGUUGUGAAAGUUUGCGGCUCAACCGUAAAAUUGCAGUUGAAACUGGCAGUCUUGAGUACAGUAGAGGUGGGCGGAAUUCGUGGUGUAGCGGUGAAAUGCUUAGAUAUCACGAAGAACUCCGAUUGCGAAGGCAGUUCACUGGACUGCAACUGACACUGAGGCUCGAAAGUGUGGGUAUCAAACAGGAUUAGAUACCCGUGUAGUC